rnacentral:rRNA from 1 species
UACGGGGGGGGCGAGCGUUGUCCGAGGUUACUGGGCGUAAAGCGCGUGUAGGCGGGUUGUUAAGUCCGCUGUGAAAGCCCGGUGCUCAACGCCGGAGGGUCGGUGGAUACUGGCAGUCUUGAAGUGGCUAGGGGGAAAUGGAAUUACCGGUGUAGCGGUGAAAUGCGUAGAUAUCGGUAGGAACACCUGUGGCGAAAGCGGCUCACUGGACCAUUACUGACACUGAGGCACGAAAGCUAGGGGAGCAAACAGG